rnacentral:rRNA from 1 species
UACGUAGGGGGCAAGCGUUGUCCGGAAUCAUUGGGCGUAAAGAGCGUGUAGGCGGCCCGGUAAGUCCGCUGUAAAAGUCAAAGGCUCAACCUUUGAAUGUCAGUGGAUACUGCCGGGCUAGAGUCCGGAAGAGGCGAGUGGAACUCCUGGUGUAGCGGUGGAAUGCGCAGAUAUCAGGAAGAACACCCGUGGCGAAGGCGGCUUUCUGGGACGGUACUGACGCUGAGACGCGAAAGCGUGGGGAGCGAACAGG